AUUGAACGCUGGCGGCAGGCCUAACACAUGCAAGUCAAGCGCGCGGCUGACGGGUGAGUAAUGUUUGGGGAACUGCCCGAUUGCGGGGGAUAACUACUGGAAACGGUGGCUAAUACCGCAUACUACAGGUUGACCCCAUAUGGGAUUAGCUAGUAGGUGGGGUAAAGGCUCACCUAGUCGACGAUCUCUAGCUGGUCUGAGAGGAUGAUCAGCCACACAGGGACUGAGACACGGCCCAGACUCCUACGGGAGGCAGCAGUGGGGACUAUUGCACAAUGGGCGCAAGCCGGAUGCAGCCAUGCCGCGUGUAUGAAGAAGGCCUUAGGGUUGUAAAGUACUUUCAGCUGGGAGGCGUUACCCGCAGAAGAAGCACCGGCUAACUCCGAGCCAGCAGCCGCGGUAAUUC
rnacentral:rRNA from 1 species